UUCAGCUGAGGCCGUAGAACCCUCAGUGAGAACCUGCUCAAACACCAGCGCUGGUGACAGUGGGUUUUCUAUUGAGGGUGGCAUUUAAUAAUUAAUAUAAAGGAGUUAAACAGUGUGUUGCUUGUGUUCUUGCUUUGUAUCUUUAAUAUUAUCUUAUAUUUUGUGAACUCCUUUAGGACCCGAGCGCCAGCAGAGGCCACCUGGACCGACGGCUGCCCUGGAGGGAGGGACACCCUUGGGCUGGGGGCAGCUGUGACCUUGCAUAUCUAGGAGAGUGCCCAGAGGUGCUGCAGCCCCCGUUGUUGAGACACGGAUAUCAAUACAAAUAUAAGAGGUUUUAGAGGGAAGUGGUGUCCAAACAAUCGGUUAAGCUCUUCUCAUUAUUCUGAAUGCAACCACCUGAAAAUCUUCUCACUUGGCAUCCUUGAAUUCAGACCUGUUUCACCCAUGGUAUGUGACUGGGAAGAGCACAGCUGGCCUGCAGUGGCUAAUCCUUUUAAUUCUCCUGGGGGAAUCUGACUGGACAAAAUAAAGGAGUAAGUCAUCCGAGAAGACCUGUUUCAGGGUGGCAGCUCUGCUGGGGUACAGCACAUGGUUGCCACAUUUCCUGGAGUUCCCCUUGGUGCCUCCACUGACAUCACUGCUUGUCACUUCUGCAAAAUCACCUCACCAAUUCUGAUGCUUGAGUAUGUAUUUAGGAGCUUAAUUACAGACACUUAUUUCUGCAAAAUGCAUCCCAGCAUUCUGGCCUGCAUCCCACAGUGUUUCCUGACAAGUGAUCAUUAGUGACUGGCUCUAGCAUCUUUGGAGAAAGGACUGUCCUUUGGAUGAGGAAAUCUUGAGCCCAAGGAUGUACUUGAAGCUGUCUGAUUUGGGCUUUGUUUUUAAGGCUGCUUUGAAUGAUAAGGCUUGGAAGAGCAGAGUAAGGCUCAAAAGGUCUUCCUAUCCUCCUGCCCUGCCAUCUCUAGUUAAGUUCAACUGCUCACUGGUAUUUAUAAGUUGCUUUCUCUCUUUAAAUGUCAUGCCCUGCAUGGUAAUCUCCUGGAUGCUGUCUCACCCCACGCCAGGGCACUGACUGCACAGGGUGCUGAACAGCAAUGAAGGGGGCAGACCUGCAUGUCUGGCUGGUCCUUUGAAGUCCCUACCCUGAGCCCACCACACACCCACACAUGAGAAGCUUCUUCUGCAUUCAGACCAGCUAUAGCUGUGCCUCCAUCCACACUGCACAACUGCAGACCGAGCCACAGCCCUGUUUCCAGACAGGUGGGUGGAUGAAAUGCUGUUAGAUCAAUAGGUGCUGCCUCCACAGCUCAUCCCAUGUCCUGUGGGAGUAGCUGGUGCUGUGUCUGUCUCAGUGCACUGGCUGCAGAACAGCAAGCAUGAAGGACAAUCUGCAUUUUUCCUUGCCCCAGCUUCCACCUUACCAUAAAAGUGUCUGGUGGCUGCUGCCUGCCCAUGGAAAGCCUGACAAAGAGACCACUUGCAACAGUCCUGCUUGCAACAGUGAGCUGGAAUUGCAGAAAAAAUACUUUGCUGUUUCUUGAGUCUGUGACAUUGUACUUUCAUUAAAAAGUAACCAAUUCUGAGAAUAUUUCCACCAGAAGCAAUGAGAGAUUUUGUUGAGGCUUGUCCAACUUGGUGGGAAGGAGAGAAUCACAACCUGGUAAUUAUUAUCUUACUUACCUUUCCCCGCCUCAUCUUUGUCUUUGUUUAUGCAGGAGCAGCAAAACCUGACUUCAUUUUUCUAGUUGAAGUGAUCCAUGGCUUUGCUGUGUGUCCUGUAACUCGGCAGGUAUUACAAACUGUAUUCCUAACUA